UACAGAGGGGGCAAGCGUUGUUCGGAAUUACUGGGCGUAAAGGGCGCGUAGGCGGCCUGUUAAGUCGAACGUGAAAUCCCUGGGCUCAACCCAGGAACUGCGUCCGAUACUGGCAGGCUUGAAUCCGGGAGAGGGAUGCGGAAUUCCAGGUGUAGCGGUGAAAUGCGUAGAUAUCAGGAAGAACACCUAUGGCGAAGGCAGCUCUCUGGGACGGUACUGACGCUGAGACGCGAAAGCGUGGGGAGCAAACAGG
rnacentral:rRNA from 1 species